GUGAUUGAACUAGAGUUUUCCAUUUGUCCACAGAACAAGUUCUGUGCCUGCAGCUGCAGUGCAGGCCAGCCCACAGUACCCUGCCAGCGGCGUCUUAACACCCUGACCUGGAGGGACCAGCGAAGGGUGAGAAAGUGAUCCGCUCUCCAUGUCCAUCUCAUGCUUGUUUGGU
ensembl:misc_RNA